GGACGAACGCUGGCGUCGUGCUUAACCCAUGCAAGUCGAACGGAAAGGCCCUGCUUUUGUGGGGUGCUCGAGUGGCGAACGGGUGAGUAACACGUGAGUAACCUGCCCUUGACUUUGGGAUAACUUCAGGAAACUGGGGCUAAUACCGGAUAGGAGCUCCUGCUGCAUGGUGGGGGUUGGAAAGUUUCGGCGGUUGGGGAUGGACUCGCGGCUUAUCAGCUUGUUGGUGGGGUAGUGGCUUACCAAGGCUUUGACGGGUAGCCGGCCUGAGAGGGUGACCGGCCACAUUGGGACUGAGAUACGGCCCAGACCCCUACGGGAGGCAGCAGUGGGGAAUAUUGCACAAUGGGCGGAAGCCUGAUGCAGCAACGCCGCGUGCGGGAUGACGGCCUUCGGGUUGUAAACCGCUUUCGCCUGUGACGAAGCGUGAGUGACGGUAAUGGGUAAAGAAGCACCGGCUAACUACGUG
rnacentral:rRNA from 1 species